UACGGAUAAAGGAAUGGGAUGAGGUCUCGAAAACAAUAAUAAACAGAUAAGCUGUCUUUCAAUGACACGAUCGAUGAUAAUCUUGAUUACUAAUUUACGUCUGGAUAUAUACUUUUACGACACGCUCGAGAAACGUAAGCUGUGCUAAAAGGCUGUAUUAAUCGAGAGGAAAAAAGGAAGUGAUCGAACGUACAGUUACAACCUAACAUGACCAGAAAAGUGGUUCCAGAGGAAAAGUAGUUCCAAAUGCCAAGCAUGGACGAGGAACAAAAGAUUCGAAAACGUGAAAGAAGAAAAUCGUGUGCCGUCAUCGACUGACAUAACGUUAUUAGCGUAAGCAUUGGAGCUUUAUUUAGAACGAAAGGGACAACGAAGCUACGGUUCGUAUUAGGAAGAGGUUGGAAGAAAUCCACGGAGGCCGUGAUCGAAUUUUGGCUCAUCGUCGAGCGAUGGUUUGUUAACGGCUGUGCCGAGUCGAAAGUACCUAGACUACCGUUCGGCGCCGACCUAUAUUUCGCUUGGAACAAUUGUUGCACAAACGAUACGCGCUCGUAAGCUCGCACGCACCGUGUCUUUCUAGCAGCGUGUACACGCGGCUACACCUAUACACGUACGCUUAUUUAUAGACUAAGAGGAAGGUCAUGAAGAAAGCGCGGCUAGACGAGCGAUUCGUUUCGACAUCGUUUCCGGCGCUGACCCAUUUCGUCCUCGAUUCUUUUCGACAUCGACGCUUCCAGCACUCUGACCCAGUUCCUGCCAGUGCGCGAUAGUCUCUCACGCACUUUUAUUUGUCCCCACGACGACAAUCAGCAUUACGACGAUCUUAUUUAUGUCUCGAACUCGCGUAUAUUUCUGCAUACGAAACGCACUGGCUUGAG